GGGGCGGCGAGGCGAGGCCUGCGGAGCGGAGGAAGACAAACAUAAAGAUGAAGUGCUUAAUUCAAGGUCACACAAUGUCGGGGAUGGACCUCCAGAUUUCCUUACUGACCUGCAUUAUCUUGUGGAUACCUGAGUGAAUUCCACACCACCCAUUUUAUAGAUGAAACCACUGAGACAUGGAGCAAUUGACUGAGUAGUCACUGCCCCACCCCUGCCUGGAGCCUCACACAUGACUCGCCUCCUCUCAGUGACCACAGGUUGGUUGAGGGGUUUAACAAGGCUAAGAAGGUGAGACGUGGUCUUGUAACACAGUGGUUAAGAAUGUGACUUUGGAGCCAGCCUGCUAGGGGCUGAAUUCUGACUCAGCCAUUUACUAACUGUGUGACCUUAGGUGGAGUCUCACUCUGUAGCCCAAGCUGGAGUGGCGUGAUCUCGACUCACUGCAACCUCCGCCUCCUGGGAUCAAGUGAUUCUCGUGCCUCAGCCUCCUGAGUAGCCGGGACUACAGGUCACAGAAUUUUCCACACUCCUUGACAGAGGUGCUUAACCCUUAUCCAUCAGCAUUCUCAGACAGCACCUCCGGUUAGGGACAGUAUCUGACCGUCCGACAUCCCUGCAGCCCCCAUGUGUCACACAGACUCAGCCUCAGGUAGAUGGUUUCCGUA
rnacentral:lncRNA from 1 species